rnacentral:tRNA from 1 species
GGAGGAGUGGCCGAGUGGUUGAAGGCGGACGCCUCGAAAGCGUCUUUACCAGCAAUGGUAACGGGGGUUCGAAUCCUCCCUCCUCCG